rnacentral:lncRNA from 1 species
CAAGGCAGGUGGAUCACAAGGUCAGGAGAUCAAGACCAUCCUCCUGGCUAACAAGGUGAAACCCUGUCUCUACUAAAAAAAAUACAAAAAAUUAGCCGGGCGUGGUGGCAUGUACCUGUAGUCCCAGCUACUCAGGAGGCUGAGGCAGGAAAAUCGCUUGAACCCAGGAAGUGGAGGUUGCAGUGAGCCAAGAUCAUACCACUGCACUCCAGCCUGGGCGACAGAGGGAGACUCCGUCUCAAAAAGAAAAAAAGCAAUAAAUGCUCUUCCAGAAAACUCAAAAAUGAAGAUAAGCUAAAAGAAAAUGGAAAGCACCAGAAUACCAGAAUCUUUCCACUCACUGAUGAUCAGAGUUAAUACCUCAGUGUCUUCUGUGGCUUCAGCGUCACCUAGUGCAGGCUGCCAUUCAACAAACGCAUUGUCAACAGUCAACCAAAAGAAACCCAUUGGCCACCAUACCCUGAGGACUAACCCUGACACAGAUGCCCUUCCAGAUGCCCUCAAUAGUCUAACUGAUUCCAUCGCCCCAGCCUUGGGGGAGAAGCACUGCUGCCUAUGCACUCCAUUUACAGAAAAACGUUGACCUCUUGGCGAGAAUGCAAAGAAGGGAACGCUUGCUUAUACGCUGUUGGUGAACUGUCACCCCUACAACUCAGCUUGCAACCAGCCCUGGCCACCAGUUUCCCCACACUGAGCUGAAUAUCGGACAUGCCCAUCUCAGACAUUCCAGCCCAUUCUGAAAUUCCACAUCGAUUCACCUGACAAAGUCUGAAGUUCCAGGGCAAUUUAUCUGGAAAAGCUUACCUGGAAUCACGUGUCAUUUCAACCAACAACUGUUGAAGAGGACGUGGCAUUAAAACCAAGGGUAUCAAUUAUUUAUAAGGGCUGUGUGCUGGUUGGUCCAAGCAUCUCUCCUUCACGCCAUCACUCCUUUCAAGAGCUGCCUCUGUUUUCUAAUUUAGCACAGGAAUUUAGAUGCCCCUAAAUAAGUAGGCAUCCAGUAUCUGCCCACACCAGUUUUAGUGAGAGUACAUAUGGAGACACUACCACCACCCCUGCUCUCCUACUGCAUACCCCACCAUGCCAAAGCAUGGUGGCUCACACCUGUAAUCCCAGUGCUUUGGGAGGCCAAAGAGGAGGAACACUUGAGAUCAGAGGUCUGAGACGAGCCUGGGCAACAUAGUGAAACCUCAUUUCUACAAAUAAGUUAAAAUAUAUAUAUGUAGGGCAUAGUGGCACACACCUGUGGUUUCAGCUUUUCAGCAAGCUGAGGCCGGAAGAUCACUUGAGCCCAGGAGUUUGAGGAUGCAGUGAGCUAGGAUUAUGCCACUGCACUGUAGCCUGGGCAGCGGAGAGACCCCAUCUCUAAAAAGAGGAGAAGGAGGGAAAAUACUUCUCCUUCUCAGACCCAAAGUAAAAAGGUUUCUGGUCUCACACUGACCAGAAAAACAUUGAUAUUUACUUAAGCAAUAUUAAAAGGGUCACUGCUUUAGAACAGGAUUAAAGAGAAAGUAAAAUCAACAUUGAGAUAGGAGGACAGAGGCCAUCAACUGAGUUCUGAUCCCAAUGAAGACGAGAAAAGGCUACAACUAUCUAGGUUAAAUAUCUACUUGUCCUAGAAAAAGCCUUUUGGCAGCAACAUAAAAUUCAUACCUCUUAGUUUUUAAAUUCCUAUGGAUGCUGAAGCAAAUAACCACAAUUUGGGUGGCUGAAAGUAACAGAAGUUUAUUCUUUCCAGUAUUGGAAACCAGGAAUCUGAGAUCAAGUUGUGGGCAGGGCUGGACUCCCCCUGGAGGCUCUAGGGGGUGUUCCUUCCUGCCUCUUCCAGUUCUUGGUGGCUCCAGG